rfam:Oryza nivara chromosome 8, whole genome shotgun sequence.
AUAUUCUUAGGCCCGGUCUUGAGGCAGAAACUGAGUAGUUGGUGAACUCACUCUAUGUUGUUCGUUCACUCGCGACACGGUUCCUGUCCCAAGGCCGAGUCUGUGAAUAU